rnacentral:misc_RNA from 1 species
GGCCAAUUGCUCAAUUAUGGGUAGACAGACACUGACUGACACCUAAGUGCAAGUGUAAAAUGCAAAGCAGUAGUUGAUUUGUUUUUCUCCAAGAACCAUAACUUUAAUGAUCAUGCUGUGGAAGCUAAAGGCUUGCAAGCCAGAAGAAGUCAACGGCCAAGGGGUAUCCUUGUAAUAAUCUCUCGUAUGGCAUGAUGACCAGCUAACCCCAUAUCCUAAUGAAUCCCUCGUAAUGCUUAUAUAUAUCGUUGUCCUUUUGCUCUGCAAACCCAAGCUUUUACUAGUGGAAUUUGGUGUGAUUAUUCCUUACCAAAAUCACCCAGAAUGGCCAAAAUUGCCUUAGGAUCUCAGCGAGAGGCCACCCAGCCCGACUGCAUCAAGGCCCUUAUCGUCGAGUUUAUUACCACCUUUUUCUUCGUCUUCGUCGGAGUCGGAGCAGCCAUGGCCGCUGAUAAACUAGUGGGAGGAUCUCUAGCGGGCUUGCUUUUCGUGGCUUUAGCACAUGCACUUGUUGUGGCUGUAAUGAUAUCCGCCGGUCAUAUCUCCGGUGGUCAUCUCAACCCAGCAGUCACUUUGGGCCUCCUCGCCGGCGGUCACAUCACCGUCUUCCGAUCCAUCCUUUACUGGAUUGACCAAUUGGUUGCAUCUUCUGCUGCUUGUCUCCUCCUAAGCUAUCUCACAGGAGGAAUGGUAAGUCUACUUAUUUGUUACUCUCUUUGACCACAGAAUCUCCUAUUUUAAUCAAAUCUUUUGAUCUUCCCUGCAUUUAUUUUGGUGUCUUGUUCUUAAUUAAGGUCAUAGUACAUGUCAUUAGCUGGUGGGUGUCUUUGUAUUCUGCAGGCCACUCCUGUGAUUACGCUGGCAAGUGGGGUAGGCUACGUUCAAGGGGUAGUGUGGGAGAUCGUACUGACCUUCUCCUUGCUGUUUACCGUCUAUGGCACUAUUGUGGACCCCAAGAAGGGAUCGAUUGAUGGGCUGGGCCCAUUGCUCACUGGGCUCGUAGUUGGGGCAAACAUCUUAGCUGGUGGAUCAUUUUCUGGUGCGGCUAUGAACCCUGCACGAUCCUUUGGGCCCGCUUUGGUGAGCUGGGACUGGACUCACCAUUGGGUUUACUGGGUAGGACCCCUAAUUGGUGGUGGGUUGGCUGGGUUCAUCUAUGAAAAUUUCUUCAUCACAAGAUCUCAUCUUCCUCUUCCCAAUGAUGAAGAAACUUACUUAAGUACUAAUUAGCAAUUGCAUCAUGUAAUGUAGUCCUUUAAUUUAGCCACUCCUUUUCAGUGUAUUAAAUUCCUGCGUGUUUCCCUGUUAUUCAAUAUCAUGCAUGUGGUACUUUGAUUGAUAUGCCACUCUUUGUUAUUAGUUUUAUCUGAAUCAUUUUUCAACAAUUUUUCAC